CUGCACUAGAAGAAGUAGUGUCAGUGGUGAAGAGGCAGCGUACGGCCUGCGCACCGGAGAGAACUUAUUGUCUCAUUUUUCUGUUUUUACAGGCCGCAGCUGACCAUUGAAACAGCAGACUAGAUGGCAGUUUGAUCCCAAACAUCUAAGAGAGCGUGGAGGAGAUACCACGAAAUGGACAUGAGGAGAGCAGGACAGGACCGAAGAAGCACAUCAACCCAGUAGCAGGAACUGUAUCUACUCCUUUAUGUGAGGAGUAACGGCAGGAGCAGUGCCAGAGCCCAACAAAAGGACCUCCGGCAGCGCGUGUUUCUGACCAAAUCAUCAGAAACAGAAUCCAUUUCCUUUAGCGGGGACCUGUG
ensembl:lncRNA